rnacentral:piRNA from 1 species
UNCAAAGUGAUACUAUGCUACCAUGUUGCC